rnacentral:ncRNA from 39 species
UACCUGGUUGAUCCUGCCAGUAG